AUCCAGCUGACGAGUCCCACAUAAGACGAAACAUGAGUCCACUGCAA
rnacentral:hammerhead_ribozyme from 1 species